GCUCCAUAGGUCUCAGGGGAGGCUCUAUGGCGUAUUUUGUUCGAGGAGAGGAGUCCCACUUUGGCUAAUUAAGGGAUUCAUCAUGGGUUUGUAAUAAGGAAAUACAUCUCUAGAGGUCUUUUGGGAAAACCAAAAGUAAACCCACGAGAGUUUAUACUCAAAUUGGACAAUAUCAUACCAUUGUGGAGGAACAUCCUCAGGAUUGUCAAAAUCUGCAUCCAGGGGGUAUAUUUUGGUGAUCUCCAUUAACGAUCCAUCUGGCAAUCUGAAACAUCAAUUUUUCAGUAGCAGAAACUACUAUCACAGGUAAAAAGAGUUCCAUAUGGUUAGACAGCUUACGAUCGAGAUUUAUCGAACUUUCCACGUUGCAAGUUGGUUUCAAAGAUGUUUAAAGCCUAGUUAAGAUGACUCUAAGCUCUUAGUGACCAAAUUUUAUAGGGUUUAAUAAAACAAUUCAAACAUAAAAAUGAAAAUUGCUAUGGGAUUAUACUUACACGCACCCACGUACCAACAAUGAUUUCAGCUCCGGCAGCAGCAAGAGAUUUUGCUAUUGCCCAACCAUAACCAUCGUCAUCAGCUACACCAGCAAUGAAUGCCCGCUUACCUGAACAGAAAACCCAAAAAUUUGCUGAACUGAUUUAGAGAAUUAUCUAACUAGAAAGACUUAGUUCUAUAAGUUGUAGAACAAGUUCAUGCAUCUCCUAUGCGUAUAUUGUCAUUUAUUUGGUUCAUCUUUCAUUUUGGAACAUGAAUCAUCUUGAUUCAUGUAUGACAAUAAUGCUUUUAUGCUUGUCUAGAAUGAUUGAGAUGUAUUGAGUGACAUUUUUGUAUUUGUUGAGUGACAUUCAGGAGGAACUUUGUUGAGAGACUUUGUAGUGUGAGAAUGUAAGAUAUACACUUUGACUAUUGAGAUUGGUUGCUACCCGUAGACGUAGGAGAAUUUCUUCCCUUCGAACCACGUAAA